CCUACGGGAGGCAGCAGUGAGGAAUAUUGGUCAAUGGGCGCGAGCCUGAACCAGCCAAGUAGCGUGAAGGAUGACUGCCCUACGGGUUGUAAACUUCUUUUAUCAAGGAAUAAAGUGAGGCACGUGUGCCUUUUUGUAUGUACUUUAUGAAUAAGGAUCGGCUAACUCCGUGCCAGCAGCCGCGGUAAUACGGAGGAUCCGAGCGUUAUCCGGAUUUAUUGGGUUUAAAGGGAGCGUAGACGGGUUGUUAAGUCAGUUGUGAAAGUUUGCGGCUCAACCGUAAAAUUGCAAUUGAUACUGGCAGCCUUGAGUACAAUUGAGGUAGGCGGAAUGCGUGGUGUAGCGGUGAAAUGCUUAGAUAUCGCGAAGAACUCCGAUUGCGAAGGCAGCUUACUAAACUGCCACUGACAUUGAUGCUCGAAAGUGUGGGUAUCGAACAGGAUUAGAUACCCCAGUAGUC
rnacentral:rRNA from 1 species